GUGCCCGUAGCUCAAGCUGGAUAGAGCGUAAGACUCCGGAUCUUAAGGUUGGGGGUUCAAAUCCCCCCGGGUACG
rnacentral:tRNA from 1 species